CGUGAGGGCUGCUGGAGAUAUCGGAAGUGCGAAUGUUGACAUGAGUAACGAUAAAGGGAGUGAGAGACUCCCUCGCCGAAAGACCAAGGGUUCCUGCUUAAAGUUAAUCUGAGCAGGGUUAGCCGGCCCCUAAGACGAGGCGGACACGCGUAGUCGAUGGGAACCACGUUAAUAUUCGUGGGCCUGGUGGUAGUGACGGAUCUUGUGUGUUGUUCAACCUUAUUGGAUUGGUUGGGCGGCGAAGAGGUUCCAGGAAAUAGCUCCACCGUAUAGACCGUACCCGAAACCGACACAGGUGGUCAGGUAGAGUAUACCAAGGCGCUUGAGAGAACUAUGUUGAAGGAACUCGGCAAAUUGCACGCGUAACUUCGGAAGAAGCGUGACCCUUUUGCACGCAAGUGUGAUGGGGUGGCACAGACCAGGGGGUAGCGACUGUUUAUCAAAAACACAGGGCUCUGCGAAGUAGCAAUACGACGUAUAGGGUCUGACGCCUGCCCGGUGCUGGAAGGUUAAAGGGAGAGGUGCAAGCUUUGAACUGAAGCCCCAGUAAACGGCGGCCGUAACUAUAACGGUCCUAAGGUAGCGAAAUUCCUUGUCGGGUAAGUUCCGACCUGCACGAAUGGCGUAACGACUUCCCCGCUGUCUCCAACAUAGACUCAGUGAAAUUGAAUUCCCCGUGAAGAUGCGGGGUUCCUGCGGUCAGACGGAAAGACCCCGUGCACCUUUACUAUAGCUUUACACUGGCAUUCGCCAAGGCAUGUGUAGGAUAGGUGGUAGGCUUUGAAGCAGGGACGCCAGUUCCUGUGGAGCCAUCCUUGAAAUACCACCCUUAUCUUCGUGGAUGUCUAACCGCGGUCCGUUAUCCGGAUCCGGGACAGUGUAUGGUGGGUAGUUUGACUGGGGCGGUCGCCUCCGAAAGAGUAACGGAGGCGCGCGAUGGUUAGCUCAGACCGGUCGGAAAUCGGUCGUCGAGUGCAAUGGCAUAAGCUAGCCUGACUGCGAGACUGACAAGUCGAGCAGAGACGAAAGUCGGUCAUAGUGAUCCGGUGGUCCCGUGUGGAAGGGCCAUCGCUCAACGGAUAAAAGGUACGCCGGGGAUAACAGGCUGAUGACCCCCAAGAGUCCAUAUCGACGGGGUUGUUUGGCACCUCGAUGUCGACUCAUCGCAUCCUGGGGCUGGAGCAGGUCCCAAGGGUAUGGCUGUUCGCCAUUUAAAGCGGUACGUGAGUUGGGUUCAGAACGUCGUGAGACAGUUCGGUCCCUAUCUGCCGUGGGUGUAGGAAUAUUGACAGGAUCUGUCCCUAGUACGAGAGGACCGGGAUGGACGUAUCUCUGGUGGAUCUGUUGUCCUGCCAAGGGCAUAGCAGAGUAGCUAUAUACGGAAUGGAUAACCGCUGAAGGCAUCUAAGCGGGAAACCAACCUGAAAACGAGUGUUCCCUAUCAGAGCCGUGGAAGACGACCACGUCGAUAGGACGGGUGUGGAAGUGCAGUAAUGCAUGAAGCUUACCGUUACUAAUAGCUCGAGCGACUUCUUCGUUCCCAUU
rnacentral:rRNA from 1 species